rnacentral:rRNA from 1 species
GUGAGGAAUAUUGCACAAUGGGCGAAAGCCUGAUGCAGCAACGCCGCGUGGGUGAUGAAGGCCUUCGGGUCGUAAAACCCUUUUCUGGGGAAAGAGAGAGGACGGUACCCCAGGAAUAAGGUUCGGCUAACUACGUGCCAGCAGCCGCGGUAAAACGUAGGAACCGAGCGUUAUCCGGAUUCAUUGGGCGUAAAGCGCCUGCAGGCGGUCUUGUAAGUUGGACGUGAAAUCUCUCGGCUCAACUGGGAGGUGCCGUUCAAUACUGCAGGACUUGAGGGCAGAAGAGGGAAGCGGAAUUCCCGGUGUAGUGGUGAAAUGCGUAGAUAUCGGGAGGAACACCAGUGGCGAAGGCGGCUUCCUGGUCUGCACCUGACGCUAAGAGGCGAAAGCUAGGGUAGCGAACGGGAUUAGAAACCCCUGUAGUCC